UGAAAAUCUUCUCGUACAAAACCACAUGGCCUAAGACUUUGAUAUUUGGUUUGUAGCAUCAUCUAGUGGUCCUCUACCAAGAUUAUUCAAAUUAUCCCUCUAGGGUCAAAUAUGACCCCGCACCAGGGGUCCCAAGUUUUACAUAGACUUUUAUAGAAAAAAAAGUUUAAAAAACUUCUUGCCUGAAACCACAACACUUAGACCUUUGAUGUUUGGUUUGUAGCAUUGUCUUAUGGUCCUCAACCAUAAUUAUUCAAAUUGUACACCUUGGGUGAAAAGAGGCCCUGCCCUGGGGGUCCCCAGUUUUAUAUAGACUUAUACAGGAAAAAGCUUUAAAAAUCUUCUUGUCUGAAACCAUACGACCGAGGCUUUUGAUAUUUGGUAUGAUGCAUUGUCUAGUAGUCCUCUACCAAAAUUGUUCAAAUUAUGUCCCUGGGGUUAAAAGAGGCCCCGCCCUAGGGUCACUUAGUUAUUAUGUGAGUUAUAUAGGAAAAAUACUUGAAAUAUCAUCUGAUCAUAUUUCCAAGACUGUUUAAUUAUAAUUACCUGAUGACCCCAAGUAAUAUGAUGUCACUUGACUGUGACCUUGACCUACUGACCUACUUUCUUGUUUUUUUUAACAUACAGCCUUGAAAUUUUGAUGACAUACACAGUUUUGCACACAAAUCGUAAAACUGAAUUUCAUUGACCAUGUAUGUGACCUACUGACUUUCUUAAUAUUUUAUCACCAGUUUGACAUUUGAAACAUGUAGCUCAUGUCACUCAGGUGAGCGAUCCAGGGUCAACAUGACCCUCUUGUUCUUACAUGUGGCAACACUGAUAUAUUUGUUUCUCUUUUUACACAUGCCUCUCUGUCUGUAUACACGCAACAGGGUCACCAUGGGAACGUACCGCCACAGACAUAUAGACAAUGACUGACGUUCAGAUGAGCAGAUUUUAGGGCAUAUACGGUUAGUACAUGUAUGUCUACUUUUCCUUUUAUGUGGCAACGCUUUGAUAAAUUUGUUUUUGUUUUUACACAUGCCUUUCUGUAUUUAUACAUUCAACCUUAACAGGGUUACCAUGGAAACGUACCUCAAUAUCUAGGCAAUGGUAUAUUGGAUUAGCAACGUUCAGAUGUACAAAGUCAUAGAGCAGAUUUUGGAGCAUAUAAGGUGUGUAUGUUUACUUUUUCUUUUUAUGUGAUGUCACUUUGAUGUAUUUGUUUUUCAUUUUACACAUGCCUCUCUGUAUCUAUAAACACAACAGGAUUACCAUGGAAGCUAACAUCUACAUCUACGCAAAGGUAAAAAUGGAUGACGACGUCCAAAUCUACAAACAGCAGUGAGAGAAAUCCUGCAACCGAUAACGAUCACGUGACAAACGCUUAGCUUUAAAUAGUCUAAGCUUUGCUAGGACCCGUAAAUGAAUUCAGGCAAAACUUGAAUAUAAACAAACAUGUGGAUAAUCUGUGCGGUUAUUGGAAACUCAAUCUACCUUGCAUGUGUUUUGCUGCGUAAUUCUUGGUGUUCGGUGUUUGCUGUUUUGUCAGGGAUUUGUUUGGCUAUUUGAUGGUGUUUGUGGUGGUUUUGGUGUUUGUUGUGGUGUUUGUGUUGGUGUUUUGGUGUUUGUUGUGUUUUUGGUGUCUUCCAUGUGGUCUUCUCGGUUGUAUUCGAUCAUGUUUGUGUUGUUUUGUUAAAAUGGGCGUUUGGUGCGAAUUGUAUGUUGCAUCUGGUUCUUCAUCGUUCGUUCCGUUACAAGGUGAAUUUCUUUCUGCCAUUAGCAAUACAUUAUAUCUAGAUUUAUUGAUGUUCACAAUUAAAUAUUGCGCUGUGAUUAAUUUGUUUUACGUUUCCCAUCAGUUUUAGAUAGCUGCAAAGAUAUGUCAUGAAAUUUGUAGACGACAAAUAUAGUGUGCAGGCGAGAUCUGGGUUGAACGCGCGAAAGCUGCAAGUACAUGCCAUGGAAUAUGCAGACGACAGACAUGCGGUGUAGACGAGAUCUGGGUUGAACGCGCGAAAUUGUUCUAUUUCAUUUCUGCGUUUUACUCUUUUUGUUUUGUAUUUCUUUUUUCUACUAGAAUGCUGGGGUAUGUAUACUUGAAGAAAAAAGACGCAGACGGACAUGGAGAUGCAGACCAAGCAAAAUGUGCGUUUCUCUUUAUGAUGAACAGGUAUGUAUAUUGCUACUUAUGUUAUCCUUUUUUGUAUGCAUUUUUUCAACCUGGUGGCUUACAAACACGUGUGAAUAUAUCAUGUUGUAGACAAUGCAAUGGUUUAGUGGAUGGUGCAGCUAUGGUACAUGAUACUGACUACAAUCACGUGCGUGGAUGUCAUGUUGUAGAUUUCACAGUGGUUAAGUGGAUGCUGCAACUUGAUCCUUUCUCUGAGGUAUGUAAUUUUUCUGACAGGUACAAUUAGAUUAUUUCGUUCGAUAGCUUUUUUGCAGUUUUCAUCACGCAAGUUACGCACAUUCAUUUUCAUUUUAAUGAAUUUUCUAUAAAUUUUAUAUUUUCUGGUUAUCGUGUGGGCGUACAUGGUUUUAAUUUUUUUUUUAUUUUUAACUCAUUACUGUUAAUUGUUAGAUAAUGACUACCAGUAUUCAGUUAAGUAGUGUAUAACUUUAAACCUUUAGAAAGCAAAGAACUAUUUUUGUCGUAGUAAUUCUAGAACGUAGGAAUGUGCAUUCAACUUCUGGCUAUGGUGAAAGUAAAACUCGAAGUAUUGGACAAGAAACUCAGAACUAUUCGAUGAGAAACCUAUACUAUCAAGACGAGGAACCCGAACUAUCCGACAAGAAGCGGUUUCCUGUACUACACACUUGUCGAAUUGCCGGUACUAAAAAGAUGCCGAUAACCAGAGGGGCACUGGAAACCAAUCGAUGUCGCUCAUCAGAGGUGUUCUGGACCCCUUAUGUCAACAUAGUAAUCAGCUGUUCUCGACAAGACGACACUUGCUGCUUCUACCAGAUGACGCCAGUGGCGGAAGAAGGGACCCGAUGCCUGGAGUAACUUUGCAGUAUAAAAUUUUGCACUGUUCGAUUGGUCAGGAUAGAGUGGUUUCAGUGGAAUUCAGCCCUUGGUGGACAUAUCGUCUGUAUUUGCCCUGUCCUAGUGAUGGUAGAGAGCUCUUCCACACCUCGUGCACAUAUCAGAAUCCGCGAGGUAGGCGACGAAUUUAUUCAGGUUUAAAACGACAGGAAGACAAUGUUUUACAUUGUUGAAAGACAAAGAAAAAGAAUCGAUCCCAGAACGUGUUUGUUGUUUUCGGCAGUUGAGGGGGGAGUCCGGUGCAUGCCAGAUACUAUCUACUGAUUUCAAACACUCUAGCGAGAAAUAUAUGCAGAAGAAAGAACCAAGUAUGAUAAAUCUACGACAGACCUGGCACAAGCAUAUAGCAUGACACCACUACAGCCGCCAUGACAAAAGCAUAGUUAAACAAAGUAGACACAAGCUAACAUGUAUAUAAUUAUAACCCAACGUACAAAGUAUAUUGGGCUAUGUAGGAGUCACGCAUGUCCAGUUCAUCCAUCCGUCCGUUCAUUUGUCCAACAUGGCCGCUAGGAUGAUUUUCAUAAAACUGACGUAAAUUAUAAACCACAUCAAGACGAUGCACAGAGCGCUCAACCUAGGUCAAAAGGCCCAAGAUCAAGGUUACUCGUGAAGGUGAAAGGUCAAAUAGCUUAGCUUCAUUUCCGCUCUAUAUUGUCUAAACGGCUUUGAAAAUAUUUAGCUCGACUGUUUGAAGAAUAAAGAGGAUUACUGUACUUGCCUUGGCGUCUGUGUCACUGUCACCGUUGCAACGAAAGUUAAAAUUUUAUUACAAGCUUCUCAGUGUCACUAUAUCUUCUUACUACUGCCCUUAUUAACAUCAAACUUCACAUAAGUGUUGGUCUUGGUAAGGGAAAGACAUCUACAUGUAUUAGUUUAGGGACAUGUAUCCUAAAUGUCGAAGUCACUGGCUUAAAUAUUGUGAUAGUGCUGGUUAAAGUUUCAUGAUAAGCUUCUCAAUUUCACAAUAUAACCUCACUUAAGGAUUGAUCUUAGAAUGUGGCAGAAAUCUUUUUGUUUAGGGUCAGAUUGCUCAAAGGUCAAGUUAUUGGGGUCAGAUUUUGUAAAACCCAACUCAUUCAUUCAUUCAUUUGUAACAGUGUUGGUUAAAGUCUUGUGGCACAUUUCUCAAUUUGACUUAUAUCUCAUUACGUUUCUUAGAACUGGUAUCCCUCAUGUCCUAUCCUUUUUAGCUAUACCCACACUUCAUGUACGUUCGUCCCGACACGCACCCAAAAAUGCGUUCCAUACAAAAACUUAUAUUUCAUGUAUCCAUCAACUCCCCACUCCGCCGUCUCCACCUACCUCUUCCACCCCAUUUCACCGAACCUUUAUCCUCGCCCCUAACCUCCACCCCCUCCAUAAUAAGGAUAAAAAACUCCUUUUCGAUCUCCCACACUUGCUUAUAAUAAUAACAAUAUCUUUAAACAUUUUCCUAUAGUCGAGCAGACACAAUUAACUCAGAUCACUAGGUCCAAGGUCAAGGUCACACCUAAAAAUCAAAAGUCAUGAUGACAACAUUUUACUUUCCCUUUAUCAAAGUGAGGUCUGGGGGUAUUAAUCGACUUCAGUGAUAGCCUUAGUUGAUCAGGUGUUAGUGGCAUAAAUUUGUAACAUUUGCUUUAUUAGGGGGUGGGGGGUAUAGGAAUGGUCUCCAUCCGUCCGUCUGCCCGUCCGUAACAUUUUCGUGUCUGGUCCAUAUCUCCUAAACACCUUGAAGGAUUUUCAUGAAACUUGGGUCAAAUGAUCACAUCAAGACGAUGUGCAGAACUUAUGAGUUUGCCAUGUCGGCUCAAGGUCAAGGUCACAACUCAAGGUCAAAGGUUUUAGCCUUCCAUUUCGUGUCCGCUCUGUAUCUCUUAAACCUCUUGAAGGAAUUUGAUAAAACUCGGGUCAAAUAAUCACCUCAUCUCGAGGAUGUACAGAACUUAUGAGUCAGCCAUGCCGGCCCAAGGUCAAGGUCACAACUUAGGGUUAAAGGUUUUAGCCUUCCAUUUUGUGUCCGCUUUGUAUCUCCUAAACCCCUUGAAAGAUUUUCAUGAAACUUGGGUAAAAUUAUCACUUCAUCAAGACGAUGUGUAGAACUCAUGAGUCAGCCAUGUUAAGGUCAAGGCCACAACUUUGGAUCAAAGGUUUGAGCCUUCCAUUUUGUGUCCGCUCUGUAUCUCCUAAACCCCUUGAAGGAUUUUCAUGAAACCUGGGUCAAAUGAUCACCUCAUCAAGAUGAUAUGCAGAACCUAUGAGUUAGCCAUGCCGGCUCAAGGUCAAGUUCAUAAAGGAUUGAGUCUUCCAUUUUGUGUCCACUCUGUAUCUGCUAAACCCCUUGAAGGAUUUUCAUUAAACUUGGGCCAAACGAUUAUCACAUCAAGAACUCAUGAUUCAGCUAUGUCAACUCAAGGUCACGGUCACAACUCAAGGUCAAAGGUUUGAGCUCGUAUCUCCUAAACUCCUUGAAGGUUUUCAUGAAACUUUGGUCAAAUGAUCAACUUAUCAAGAUGAUGUGAAGAAUUUAUAAGUCAGUCAUGUCAGAUCAAGGUUAAGGUCACAGCUCAAGGUCAAAGGUUCAAGUUACCCUUUCACUAUCCAUAACAGUGGCGGGGUUUUUAUCUGUCUUUCAGACUGCCAUGUAAUAAUUGAUUUUAUGACAGGAGAUAUUUGUUUGUUUCAGUGUAAGAUCGAUCAAAUCUUUUCUAAAUACAUCUCGCGAAAAUGAAAAAUCUAGUGUUCAAGCGUGAAAAAUAA